rnacentral:sRNA from 1 species
CGUGAAGCUUCCACACCGUCUACAGCCAUGUCUUAACCACCCCCUAAGAAUAAUUACGCAAUUCCAAUAUCAGAGGCUCCCUCUUUGUACAUGUACAAUAUGCCGUUUGUACGCAAAUAGCCUUCCCUUGCCGCGGGGUCCAGGGGGAGAGCAGAUACUCUCUCGGCUCAGCUUAACUGUCCGGCAUCGUGGCGAUUUGUGCACAAUCUCGCUAAGCUGGCAGCCGCCAUAGAUAGUUCCUAGGGCUGAGGUAGAGGUGGUGAAGACGCGAGAGUGGCGGAGCGGAUUUUGAGAGGAGGGUUUUGGGUUUUGGAUUUUCUUCUUGUCGGAUUGGUGAUAGAUCUCUGCUCUCUUUCCCGUGCGUGGCUGGUUGGCUGGUUCCAGUUGAUAUUUAGUGGUGAAUACAGUUUUUGAUUUCGAGAUUCUUCAUCAGGAUAAGGGGGUGUCAAGCCACAAACGCUUCGAUGCUGCUUUGCAUUCUGAAUGUGCUAAAUAUUUCCCCAAUGAGAGAGGAUCUCGGUCGGUUGUAUUUCCCUUUUUCCCUUUUUCCCUUUUUCCCUUUCUCUUCUCUUCCCCCUGAUGAAGCAUUGAUCAAAAUUAUUCAACCAAAUUCUUAUUGUAGAAACUAUUCAUACUCAUCUUACCAUUUUCCUCACUGCUGCCUACUAACUAUAGUCUAUGAAGCA